CUAGUACUCCCUCCGUCCGAAAAAGCUUGUCUCAAACUUGUUCCUCAAAUGGAUGUAUCUACAUUCAUUCUAGGGACAAGCUUUUUCGGACGGAGGGAGUACAUG
rfam:Triticum aestivum genome assembly, contig: Triticum_aestivum_CS42_TGACv1_scaffold_226201_3B